rnacentral:rRNA from 1 species
AACGAACGCUGGCGGCGUGCCUAAGACAUGCAAGUCGAACGGUAAGGCACCUUCGGGUGUACACGAGUGGCGCACGGGUGAGUAACGCGUGGGUAAUCUGCCCCCAGGUCGGGGACAACUUCGGGAAACUGGAGCUAAUACCGGAUGAGCCCACGAGGCCUUCGGGCUUCGCGGGAAAAGGUGGCCUCUCCUUGGAAGCUACCGCCAGGGGAUGAGCCCGCGUCCCAUUAGCUUGUUGGUGAGGUAACGGCUCACCAAGGUGACGAUGGGUAGCUGGUCUGAGAGGAUGAUCAGCCACACUGGAACUGAGACACGGUCCAGACUCCUACGGGAGGCAGCAGUCGGGAAUUUUGGGCAAUGGGCGCAAGCCUGACCCAGCAACGCCGCGUGAGGGAUGAAGGCCCUCGGGUCGUAAACCUCUGUCGGGAGGGAAGAACGUUCUCCGGAUCAAUACCCCGGGGAGCUGACGGUACCUCCAAAGGAAGCACCGGCUAACUCCGUG